UACGUAGGGUGCAAGCGUUAAUCGGAAUUACUGGGCGUAAAGCGUGCGCAGGCGGUUAUGUAAGACAGAUGUGAAAAUCCCCCGGGCUCAACCUGGGGAACUGCAUUUUGUGACUGCAUAGCUAGAGUACGGUAGAGGGGGAUGGAAUUCCGCGUGUAGCAGUGAAAAUGCGUAGAUAUCUGGAGGAACACCGGUGGCGAAGGCGGCAUCCUGGACCGAUACUGACGCUGAGGGAGCGAAAAGCCCAGGGGGAGCAAAAGCGGGG
rnacentral:rRNA from 1 species